rnacentral:rRNA from 1 species
AUUGAACGCUGGCGGCAGGCUUAACACAUGCAAGUCGAGCGGGGUGAUGGUGCUUGCACUAUCACUUAGCGGCGGACGGGUGAGUAAUGCUUAGGAAUCUGCCUAUUAGUGGGGGACAACAUCUCGAAAGGGAUGCUAAUACCGCAUACGUCCUACGGGAGAAAGCAGGGGAUCACUUGUGACCUUGCGCUAAUAGAUGAGCCUAAGUCGGAUUAGCUAGUUGGUGGGGUAAAGGCCUACCAAGGCGACGAUCUGUAGCGGGUCUGAGAGGAUGAUCCGCCACACUGGGACUGAGACACGGCCCAGACUCCUACGGGAGGCAGCAGUGGGGAAUAUUGGACAAUGGGGGGAACCCUGACCCAGCCAUGCCGCGUGUGUGAAGAAGGCCUUAUGGUUGUAAAGCACUUUUAGUGGGGAUGAAAAGCCGAAGGCUAUUACCUUUCGGUCUUGACCUAACCCAAAGAAAAAGCACCGGCUAACUCUGUGCCAGCAGCCGCCGUAA